AACGAACGCUGGUGGCAGGCUUAACACAUGCAAGUCGAACGGGCGUAGCAAUACGUCAGUGGCAGACGGGUGAGUAACACGUGGGAACCUUCCUAGGGGUACGGAACAACUCAGGGAAACUUGAGCUAAUACCGUAUACGUCCGAGAGGAGAAAGAGUUAUCCACUUUGGCCGGGCCCGCGGCGGAUUAGGUGGUGGGUGGGGUAACGGCCUACCAAGCCGAAGUACAGUAGCUGAUCUGAGAGGAUGACCAGCCACACUGGGACUGAGACACGGCCCAGACUCCUACGGGAGGCAGCAGUGGGGAAUCUCGGACAAGGGGCGCAAGCCUGAUACAGCCAUGCCGCGUGAGUGAAGAAGGCCUUAGGGUUGUAAAGCUCUUUUACCAGGGACGAUAAUGACGGUACCUGGAGAAUAAGCCCCGGCAAANUUCGUGCCAGCAGCCGCAGUAACAC
rnacentral:rRNA from 1 species